rnacentral:rRNA from 1 species
GAUGAACGCUGGCGGCGUGCCUAAUACACGCAAGUCGAGCGAACAGACGAGGAGCUUGCUCCUCUGACGUUAGCGGCGGACGGGUGAGAAACACGUGGAUAACCUACCUAUAAGACUGGGAUAACUUCGGGAAACCGGAGCUAAUACCGGAUAAUAUAUUGAACCGCAUGGUUCAAUAGUGAAAGACGGUUUUGCUGUCACUUAUAGAUGGAUCCGCGCCGCAUUAGCUAGUUGGUAAGGUAACGGCUUACCAAGGCAACGAUGCGUAGCCGACCUGAGAGGGUGAUCGGCCACACUGGAACUGAGACACGGUCCAGACUCCUACGGGAGGCAGCAGUAGGGAAUCUUCCGCAAUGGGCGAAAGCCUGACGGAGCAACGCCGCGUGAGUGAUGAAGGUCUUCGGAUCGUAAAACUCUGUUAUUAGGGAAGAACAAAUGUGUAAGUAACUAUGCACGUCUUGACGGUACCUAAUCAGAAAGCCACGGCUAACUACGUG